rnacentral:rRNA from 1 species
GUCGUCAGCUCGUGUUGUGAAAUGUUGGGUUAAGUCCCGCAACGAGCGCAACCCUUAUCCUUUGUUGCCAGCGAUUCGGUCGGGAACUCAAAGGAGACUGCCGGUGAUAAACCGGAGGAAGGUGGGGAUGACGUCAAGUCAUCAUGGCCCUUACGAGUAGGGCUACACACGUGCUACAAUGGCGUAUACAAAGAGAAGCGACCUCGCGAGAGCAAGCGGACCUCAUAAAGUACGUCGUAGUCCGGAUUGGAGUCUGCAACUCGACUCCAUGAAGUCGGAAUCGCUAGUAAUCGUAGAUCAGAAUGCUACGGUGAAUACGUUCCCGGGCCUUGUACACACCGCCCGUCACACCAUGGGAGUGGGUUGCAAAAGAAGUAGGUAGCUUAACCUUCGGGAGGGCGCUUACCACUUUGUGAUUCAUGACUGGGGUGAAGUCGUAACAAGGUAACCGUAGGGGAACCUGCGGUUGGAUCACCUCCUUA